CCUACGGGAGGCAGCAGUGGGGAAUAUUGCACAAUGGGCGCAAGCCUGAUGCAGCCAUGCCGCGUGUGUGAAGAAGGCCUUCGGGUUGUAAAGCACUUUCAGCGGGGAGGAAGGCGGUGAGGUUAAUAACCUCAUCGAUUGACGUUACCCGCAGAAGAAGCACCGGCUAACUCCGUGCCAGCAGCCGCGGUAAUACGGAGGGUGCAAGCGUUAAUCGGAAUUACUGGGCGUAAAGCGCACGCAGGCGGUCUGUCAAGUCGGAUGUGAAAUCCCCGGGCUCAACCUGGGAACUGCAUUCGAAACUGGCAGGCUAGAGUCUUGUAGAGGGGGGUAGAAUUCCAGGUGUAGCGGUGAAAUGCGUAGAGAUCUGGAGGAAUACCGGUGGCGAAGGCGGCCCCCUGGACAAAGACUGACGCGCAGGUGCGAAAACGUGGGGAGCAAACAGGAUUAGAUACCCGGGUAGUC
rnacentral:rRNA from 1 species